rnacentral:rRNA from 1 species
AACGAACGCUGGCGGCGCGCCUAAUACAUGCAAGUCGAGCGAGAAGGUGUAGCAAUACACUUGUAAAGCGGCGAACGGGUGAGGAAUACAUGGGUAAUCUACCAUCGAGUGGGGAAUAACCAACCGAAAGGUUGGCUAAUACCGCGUACGCCUCCGAGUCUUCGGGUUCGGAGGGAAAGCUGCACUGUGAGUGUAGCGCUCUUUGAUGAGCUCAUGUCCUAUCAGCUUGUUGGUAGGGUAACGGCCUACCAAGGCUUUGACGGGUAGCUGGUCUGAGAGGACGAUCAGCCACACUGGCACUGCGACACGGGCCAGACUCCUACGGGAGGCAGCAGUAAGGAAUAUUGCGCAAUGGGCGAAAGCCUGACGCAGCGACGCCGCGUGGGGGAGUGAAGGUCUUC